GGAAGGCAAUUCACCUAGGAGAGCAAACUCUAUACAAACCCGGGCAGGUGAGGCUCGUAAGCCGUGGAAGGCAAUUCACCUAGGAGAGCAAACUCUAAACAAACCCGGGCAGGUGAGGCUCGUUAGCCGUGGUAGGCAAUUCACCUAGGAGAGCAAACUCUAUACAAACCCGGGCAGGUGAGGCUCGUUAGCCGUGGUAGGCAAUUCACCUAGGAGAGCAAACUCUAUACAAACCCGGGCAGGUGGAGGUCGUUAGCCGUGGGAGGCAAUUCACCUAGGAGAGCAAACUCCGAACAAUAAACCCGGGCAGGUGGAGGUCGUUAGCCGUGGGAGGCAAUUCACCUAGGAGAGCAAACUCUAUACAAACCCGGGCAGGUGGAGGUCGUCAGCCGUGGUAGGCAAUUCACCUAGGAGAGCAAACUCCGAACAAUAAACCCGGGCAGGUGGAGCUCGUCAGCCGUGGUAGGCAAUCUGCCUAGGAGAGCAAACUCCGAACAAUAAACCCGGGCAGGUGGAGCUCGUCAGCCGUGGUAGGCAGUCUGCCUAGGAGAGCAAACUCCGAACAAUAAACCCGGGCAGGUGGAGGUCGUCAGCCGUGGUAGGCAAUCUGCCUAGGAGAGCAAACUCCGAACAAUAAACCCGGGCAGGUGGAGGUCGUCAGCCGUGGUAGGCAAUCUGCCUAGGAGAGCAAACUCUAAAUAAACCCGGGCUUGUGGUGCUCGUUAUACUGUCGUAGACAAUCCACGCGAUGGGAACACCAAAGAAAAGGAAAAUAAAAAAGAACACCAGAAAAAUGGAAAAUACAGAAACGAAACAUCAAGAAAAGAAACAAAAAGAUCAUCCACCUUUAGGCCCUAACAUCGCCAAAAUUAUGGGUGGGUCUCUUCUGGGGAGAAAGCGGCUCAUCCAGACCAAAGAACAUCAACAAAAGGAUGAUAUGAAUAAAUGAACAUAAAAAAAACAAAGAAAAACACAUCAAGGAAAGAAAAAUAUAACAAACAUCAUCCACCUUCCGGCCCUGACUAACAUCACCAAAAUUAUGGGUGGGUCUCUUCUGGGGAGAAAGCGGCUCACCCAGACCAAAGAACAUCAACAAGGGAUGAUAUAGAAAAGAACACCAAAAAAAUAUGGAAAAAGAACAGAAAAAACAUCGAAAAAGAAAAGCAACAGAAAUAAAUGAGCAACAUCGAGAAAAGAGAAAUACAAAGAAACAUCAUCCACCUUUCGGCCCCAAACAACAUCACCAAAAUUAUGGAUGGGUCUCUUCUGGGAGGAAAGCGGCUCAUCCAGACCAAGGAACAUCAACAAAAGGAUGAUGGGAAAAAAAUAACAUAAAACAUCAAAAAGAAGUAAAAAGAAAAAGAACAGGAAAA